CAGGCCUACGGGGGGCAGCAGUGGGGAAUAUUGGGCAAUGGGCGCAAGCCUGACCCAGCAACGCCGCGUGAAGGAAGAAGGCUUUCGGGUUGUAAACUUCUUUUAUGAGGGACGAAAGAAAUGACGGUACCUCAUGAAUAAGCCACGGCUAACUACGUGCCAGCAGCCGCGGUAAUACGUAGGUGGCAAGCGUUAUCCGGAUUUACUGGGUGUAAGGGGCGUGCAGCCGGGAAGACAAGUCAGAUGUGAAAUCCCGCGGCUCAACCGCGGAACUGCAUUUGAAACUGUUUUUCUUGAGUACCGGG
rnacentral:rRNA from 1 species